CCGAUGACUCGGGGAUAGCCUUUCGAAAGAAAGAUUAAUACCCGAUGGCAUAGUUCUUCCGCAUGGUAGAACUAUUAAAGAAUUUCGGUCAUCGAUGGGGAUGCGUUCCAUUAGGUUGUUGGCGGGGUAACGGCCCACCAAGCCUUCGAUGGAUAGGGGUUCUGAGAGGAAGGUCCCCCACAUUGGAACUGAGACACGGUCCAAACUCCUACGGGAGGCAGCAGUGAGGAAUAUUGGUCAAUGGACGAGAGUCUGAACCAGCCAAGUAGCGUGAAGGAUGACUGCCCUAUGGGUUGUAAACUUCUUUUAUACGGGAAUAAAGUGAGGCACGCGUGCCUUUUUGUAUGUACCGUAUGAAUAAGGAUCGGCUAACUCCGUGCCAGCAGCCGCGGUAAUACGGAGGAUCCGAGCGUUAUCCGGAUUUAUUGGGUUUAAAGGGAGCGUAGGCGGACGCUUAAGUCAGUUGUGAAAGUUUGCGGCUCAACCGUAAAAUUGCAGUUGAUACUGGGUGUCUUGAGUACAGUAGAGGCAGGCGGAAUUCGUGGUGUAGCGGUGAAAUGCUUAGAUAUCACGAAGAACUCCGAUUGCGAAGGCAGCCUGCUGGACUGUAACUGACGCUGAUGCUCGAAAGUGUGGGUAUCAAACAGGAUUAGAUACCCUGGUAGUCCACACAGUAAACGAUGAAUACUCGCUGUUUGCGAUAUACAGUAAGCGGCC
rnacentral:rRNA from 1 species